GUGACGUUCUCCGCAGCCCUUUGGAGAGGACACAGUGAGCGAGUCAUCCCAUCAGCUUGUCCUCGCCUCAUGACAGCUGCCUCCUCCGUCUGCGUCCUGCCGUGACAUUUUGCAGGGAGCUCUGCAUGGCAGUUUAAGGGUGCGUGAGCGUACAGAAGCAGGGCAGCUCCGGGCCAGGCCGCCUGCAGACUGUUUCCGCCCCAGAUGUCACCACAUCAGUCCCCGAGGUUCAUCAUGCAUCACUCAAAAGGACAGCUCUCCAAGGCUCAGAUCAAAGUCAGAUGACGUUCGUCCAGACAAAUAACCUGGACUCCAGUUGUCCCAUCGUACCCCUAGGAAUGCUGUGUAUCCUGCUGCCUGCUCUCCUGGAAACAACACUUCUA
rnacentral:lncRNA from 1 species